AGGAUAAUAGUUAAUUAUAACAUUUGAUUUGCAUUCAAAAAGUAUUGGAUUACCAAUUUAUCUUA
rnacentral:tRNA from 1 species